rnacentral:rRNA from 1 species
GACGAACGCUGGCGGCGUGCCUAAUACAUGCAAGUAGAACGCUGAAGGAGGAGCUUGCUCUUCUGGAUGAGUUGCGAACGGGCGAGUAACGCGUAGGUAACCUGCCUGGUAGCGGGGGAUAACUAUUGGAAACGAUAGCUAAUACCGCAUAAGAGUAGAUGUUGCAUGACAUUUACUUAAAAGGUGCAAUUGCAUCACUACCAGAUGGACCUGCGUUGUAUUAGCUAGUUGGUGGGGUAACGGCUUACCAAGGCGACGAUACAUAGCCGACCUGAGAGGGUGAUCGGCCACACUGGGACUGAGACACGGCCCAGACUCCUACGGGAGGCAGCAGUAGGGAAUCUUCGGCAAUGGACGGAAGUCUGACCGAGCAACGCCGCGUGAGUGAAGAAGGGUUUCGGAUCGUAAAGCUCUGUUGUAAGAGAAGAACGAGUGUGAGAGUGGAAAGUUCACACUGUGACGGUAUCUUACCAGAAAGGGACGGCUAACUACGUG